GAUGAACGCUGGCGGUGUGCCUAAUACAUGCAAGUCGAACGGGCUCUUCGGAGCUAGUGGCGGACGGGUGAGUAACACGUUGGUACCUGCCCCAAAGUGGGGAAUAACUGCCCGAAAGGGUGGCUAAUACCGCAUAAUACCGUAAGGUUAAAGCAGAAAUGCGCUUUGGGAGGGGCCUGCGUCUGAUUAGCUAGUUGGUAGUGUAAUGGACUACCAAGGCGACGAUCAGUAGCUGGAUCGAGAGGUUGACCAGCCACACUGGGACUGAGAUACGGCCCAGACUCCUACGGGAGGCAGCAGUAAGGAAUCUUCCACAAUGGACGAAAGUCUGAUGGAGCAACACCGCGUGCAGGAUGACGGUCUUCGGAUUGUAAACUGCUUUUAUAUGGGAAGAUUAUGACGGUACAUAUGAAUAAGGACCGGCUAACUACGUGCCAGC
rnacentral:rRNA from 1 species